GUGUCAGCCGCCGCGGUAAUACGAGAGGUCCUAGCGUUAAUCGGAAUCACUGGGCUUAAAGGGUGCGUAGGCGGGCCUGUAAGUGCUUUGUGAAAUCCCAUGGCUCAACCAUGGAAUUGCAGGGCAUACUGCAGGUCUUGAGGAAUCUAGAGGCCGGCGGAACGAUAGGUGGAGCGGUGGAAUGCGUAGAUAUCUAUCGGAACGCCAAAGGUGAAGACAGCCGGCUGGGGAUUUCCUGACGCUGAGGCACGAAAGCGUGGGGAUCAAACAGGAUUAGAUACCCUCGUAGUCC
rnacentral:rRNA from 1 species